GAGUUUGAUCCUGGCUCAGAACGAACGCUGGCGGCAGGCCUAACACAUGCAAGUCGAGCGCGCCCUUCGGGGUGAGCGGCGGACGGGUUAGUAACGCGUGGGAACGUGCCCUUCUCUAAGGAAUAACCAUUGGAAACGAUGACUAAUGCCUUAUGCGCCCUUCGGGGGAAAGAUUUAUCGGAGAAGGAUCGGCCCGCGUUAGAUUAGAUAGUUGGUGGGGUAAUGGCCUACCAAGUCUACGAUCUAUAGCUGGUUUUAGAGGAUGAUCAGCAACACUGGGACUGAGACACGGCCCAGACUCCUACGGGAGGCAGCAGUGGGGAAUCUUGGACAAUGGGCGCAAGCCUGAUCCAGCCAUGCCGCGUGAGUGAUGAAGGCCUUAGGGUCGUAAAGCUCUUUCGCCAGGGAUGAUAAUGACAGUACCUGGUAAAGAAACCCCGGCUAACUCCGUGCCAGCAGCCGCGGUAAUACGGAGGGGGUUAGCGUUGUUCGGAAUUACUGGGCGUAAAGCGCACGUAGGCGGAUCAGCAAGUUGGGGGUGAAAUCCCGGGGCUCAACCCCGGAACUGCCUCCAAAACUGUUGGUCUUGAGUUCGAGAGAGGUGAGUGGAAUUCCGAGUGUAGAGGUGAAAUUCGUAGAUAUUCGGAGGAACACCAGUGGCGAAGGCGGCUCACUGGCUCGAUACUGACGCUGAGGUGCGAAAGUGUGGGGAGCAAACAGGAUUAGAUACCCUGGUAGUCCACACCGUAAACGAUGAAUGCCAGACGUCGGGCAGCAUGCUGUUCGGUGUCACACCUAACGGAUUAAGCAUUCCGCCUGGGGAGUACGGUCGCAAGAUUAAAACUCAAAGGAAUUGACGGGGGCCCGCACAAGCGGUGGAGCGUGUGGUUUAAUUCGAAGCAACGCGCAGAACCUUACCAACCCUUGACAUCCUAGGACAACUCCAGAGAUGGAGCCUUCCUUCGGGACCUAGUGACAGGUGCUGCAUGGCUGUCGUCAGCUCGUGUCGUGAGAUGUUCGGUUAAGUCCGGCAACGAGCGCAACCCACAUCCCUAGUUGCCAGCAGGUCAAGCUGGGCACUCUAUGGAAACUGCCCGUGAUAAGCGGGAGGAAGGUGUGGAUGACGUCAAGUCCUCAUGGCCCUUACGGGUUGGGCUACACACGUGCUACAAUGGUAGUGACAAUGGGUUAAUCCCCAAAAGCUAUCUCAGUUCGGAUUGUUCUCUGCAACUCGAGAGCUUGAAGUCGGAAUCGCUAGUAAUCCCGGAUCAGCAUGCCGGGGUGAAUGCGUUCCCGGGCCUUGUACACACCGCCCGUCACACCACGAAAGUUGGUUCUACCCGAAACCAGUGAGCUAACCAGCAAUGGAGGCAGCUGUCUACGGUGGGGCUGAUGAUUGGGGUGAAGUCGUAACAAGGUAGCCGUAGGGGAACCUGCGGCUGGAUCACCUCCUUCU
rnacentral:rRNA from 1 species